rnacentral:rRNA from 1 species
UCGGGAAUAUUGCACAAUGGAGGAAACUCUGAUGCAGUGACGCCGCGUGCAGGAAGAAGGUUUUCGGAUUGUAAACUGCUUUAGACAGGGAAGAAACAAGACAGUACCUGUAGAAUAAGCUCCGGCUAACUACGUGCCAGCAGCCGCGGUAAUACAGAGGUCUCAAGCGUUAUUCGGAAUCACUGGGCGUAAAGAGUACGUAGGCGGCAAGGUAAGUCUGAUGUGAAAUGCGGGAGCUUAACUUCCGAACGGCAUUGGAUACUGCUUUGCUAGAGCAAUGGAGGGGAAACCGGAAUUCUCGGUGUAGCAGUGAAAUGCGUAGAUAUUAGGAGGAACACCAGUGGCGAAGGCGGCUUACUGGACGAUUACUGACGCUGAGGCUCGAAAGCGUGGGGAGCAAACA